UGAGAUAAACCAGAGACAGUAGUCCUCCGUGUAGCCACCACACAGCAGAAGCAGCAGCAAGGCAAGCAUCUCCUAUGCUCCCCAGUGGUCAAUAUACCUCAACUCUGAUCUGGAGGGACCACCUCUAGGUGCAAGAAGUGAGUCCCAUUACCCACUCUCUGCUGAGAGUGCU
ensembl:misc_RNA